rnacentral:rRNA from 1 species
UGUUGCGGGUGCUUACACAUGCAGUCGAACGAUGAAGCCGGAGCUUGCUCUGGUGGAUUAGUGGCGAACGGGUGAGUAACACGUGAGCAACCUGCCCUGGACUCUGGGAUAAGCGCUGGAAACGGCGUCUAAUACUGGAUACGAGACGUGGCCGCAUGGUCAACGUUUGGAAAGAUUUUUCGGUCUGGGAUGGGCUCGCGGCCUAUCAGCUUGUUGGUGAGGUAAUGGCUCACCAAGGCGUCGACGGGUAGCCGGCCUGAGAGGGUGACCGGCCACACUGGGACUGAGACACGGCCCAGACUCCUACGGGAGGCAGCAGUGGGGAAUAUUGCACAAUGGGCGGAAGCCUGAUGCAGCAACGCCGCGUGAGGGAUGACGGCCUUCGGGUUGUAAACCUCUUUUAGCAGGGAAGAAGCGAAAGUGACGGUACCUGCAGAAAAAGCGCCGGCUAACUACGUGCCAGCAGCCGCGGUAAUACGUAGGGCGCAAGCGUUAUCCGGAAUUAUUGGGCGUAAAGAGCUCGUAGGCGGUUUGUCGCGUCUGCUGUGAAAUCCCGAGGCUCAACCUCGGGCCUGCAGUGGGUACGGGCAGACUAGAGUGCGGUAGGGGAGAUUGGAAUUCCUGGUGUAGCGGUGGAAUGCGCAGAUAUCAGGAGGAACACCGAUGGCGAAGGCAGAUCUCUGGGCCGUAACUGACGCUGAGGAGCGAAAGGGUGGGGAGCAAACAGGCUUAGAUACCCUGGUAGUCCACCCCGUAAACGUUGGGAACUAGUUGUGGGGUCCUUUCCACGGAUUCCGUGACGCAGCUAACGCAUUAAGUUCCCCGCCUGGGGAGUACGGCCGCAAGGCUAAAACUCAAAGGAAUUGACGGGGACCCGCACAAGCGGCGGAGCAUGCGGAUUAAUUCGAUGCAACGCGAAGAACCUUACCAAGGCUUGACAU